AGAGGUGGCUGAGUGGUUGAAAGCGGCGCCCUGCUAAGGCGUUAUACGGGUUAUACCGUAUCGAGGGUUCGAAUCCCUUCCUCUC
rnacentral:tRNA from 1 species